UACGUAGGGUGCGAGCGUUGUCCGGAAUUAUUGGGCGUAAAGGGCUCGUAGGCGGUCUGUCACGUCGGGAGUGAAAACUCAGGGCUUAACCCUGAGCCUGCUUCCGAUACGGGCAGACUAGAGGUAUGCAGGGGAGAACGGAAUUCCUGGUGUAGCGGUGAAAUGCGCAGAUAUCAGGAGGAACACCGGUGGCGAAGGCGGUUCUCUGGGCAUUACCUGACGCUGAGGAGCGAAAGCAUGGGGAGCGAACAGG
rnacentral:rRNA from 1 species